UCCCUGUCCUGUAAUAACUGUAGAGCACUUUAAAGAAUCACUGGGUGUUAAAGGCCUUCCGCUGUAUCCAGACCCCUCCAGAGUACCUGGCACAAAGACUCAGAACAACUUAGAAUCUGACUACUUGGCCAGAGAUGGCCCUUCAAGCAACAGCUCAUUCCACAGCAGCGAAGAGGAAGGGACUGACCUUGAAGGAGACAUGCUGGACUGCAGUGGGUCUCGGCCUCUCCUUAUGGAGUCUGAAGAAGAAGAUGAGAGCUGCAGACCCCCCCCGGGGAAGCUGGGAGGAGCCGUUCCAUUCGCUCCACCAGAAGUCUCUCCUGAGCAAGCAAAGACAGUGCAAGGUGGAAGAAAGAACCAGUUUCAAGCCUUCACACAGCCAGCCACUGAUGGGCUCAGUGAGCCAGAUGUUUUUGCCAUAGCUCCCUUCAGGAGCUCAAGGGUUCCAAAUGAUGACAUGGACAUUUUCUCCAAAGCCCCAUUUGUCUCCAAGAGCAGUAUGGCUCCUUCCCAGCCAGAGGAGUCAGACGUGUUUUUGAGAGCUCCUUUCACUAAGAAGAAAAGCAUGGAGGAGUUAACAGUUAUCCAAUGCACCUCCCAGGAGCUGCCUGCACAGACCGGUCUCCUCAGUCAGACAGGUGAUGUCCCCCUGCCCGCGGGCCGUGAGAGAGCUGUGUACACCUCUGUCCAAGCUCAGUAUUCCACAGCUGGUUUUGUGCAACAGUCUAACCUCCUGUCCCAUUCUGUACAAGCAGCAGACCAUCUGGACAGCAUCUCUCCCAGGGGAUCCUGCCUGGAAUCUGGGGGUCAUUCUAAUGACAGAAACAAAGGACCUCAGCUCCAGAAAGAAGCUGUCUCAGGCCCCAUGGCUGGCAAACCAUUCCGCCCCCAGUCCUUAUCCAAGUAUUCCCGUCACUAUAGCCCAGAAGACGAGCCAAGUCCAGAAGCCCAGCCCAUUGCUGCCUACAAAAUUGUUUCACAAACCAACAAGCAGUCGAUAGCUGGGUCUGUUUCUAUCACAUCCCUUUCCUCCAGGACUACGGAGCUGCCAGCUGCUGAUCCAUUUGCUCUAGCACCCUUCCCUUCAAAAUCAGGCAAGAAACCCUAGGAGCAAAACCUGAGCCUCAAGCCUCUUGUCUCUAUCCCACCCUCAAUACCCGCCAUGGCACUCCCAGCUUAGCCUUCUGAAGAAGAAAUAUUAUCAGUUCUUAUAUUUCAAUUCCCUGCGUCAGAGCAGAAUUGCUUGACCCAGGGAGGCAGACUUUGCAGUGAGCCAAGAUUGUGUCAUUGCACUCCAGCCUGGGCGAGAAGAGCAAAACUCCGCCUCAAAAAAAAAAAAAAAAUUGUCACUGGAGACAUGAUGGGUGGAGACUCUACAUACCUUCUUUGAAUACAGAAACGGAUGCAAACACAUGCAAAUUACUUUUUUUUUUUUUUUUGGUGAUGCAUGAAAAAACUUUGACUUGUGGAUUACAUUAAUUAUUAGUAACAGUUAGAUUCUGCCGACUUGUAUUACAGUAGGGUCUUAUUUCCUUAAAGAGAAAAAAAAAUACAGUCAUGCCCCACUUAAUGAUGAGGGAGACAUUCAGAGAAAUGCAUCCUUAGGUGAUUUUGUCAUUGUGUGAACAUCACAGAGUGUACUUAACACAAACCUAGAUGGCACGGCCUACUACCUACCUAGGCUAUAUGGUCCAGCCUGUUGCUCCUGGGCUACAAACCUGUACAGCAUGUUACUGUACUGAAUACUGUAGGCAGUUGUAACACAAUGGUAAGUAUUUCUGUAUCCAAACAUUUUAGACAUAGAAAAGGUACAGUAAAAAUAUGGUAUAAUCUUAUGGGACCAUCAUGGUAUAUGUGGUCCAUCAUUGAUGGAAUCGUUUUUAUGCAGCACAUGACUGUAUAUAAUCAACAAACAACUCUACUUUCUUGUUUUCGUUUGUUGUGUUUUUGCUUUACACAUUUGAUAGGGAACAUAGAAGUUGUGACCUUUCAUUUCAGUGGAAAGCAUUGAGCCAGAAUAUAUUUAUUCCUAAACCAUCGAGCCACACAUGCAUUGAUGAACCCUGAAAGAAUCCACAGUAAUUGACUAACAGGCAGUACUGAAUGAAAGAUGUCAUAUGUGGUGAAAAAUAUUUAAUAUAUCAGUUUCUUGGGCUCACAUACAGCCCUUUAGUUCCAAGUGCUUGGUUAGAUUAGAAAAUGGGAUGAACACAAUUUGAUGCUGAAGCAGCUGCUGAGCAGCACCCAGGGAGUCUAGGUCAUACGCCCUAUAUUGUUUUCGGCCCACUUAUUGUUGAGUUGAAAAGUCUCAUAUUUGUAGACUAGAGUGUAUGUGUUUAGAGGCUCAUGUUGUAUCUGAGUUUUCUCUGGCAACUAAGAUCUCUUUCUAAACGUUCUAGAAAGAUACUGGUAUCUUACUGGCCCAUUAUUUAGUAAGUUUUAGAAUACAUGUACAUCAGUGUUUUCAACUGCUUGGUGGACAUUUCACUGAUGCAUAAUCAAAGUAGCAGAUUAUAAUCAUCAGAGUGAUCUGACAAGGAAAUUCUGUAUUUGCUUCCAUAAAGAAAAAUAAUCAAAACAUAUAUCAGAUAUAAUAUAUAUGCAGUAUAUCACAUAGGAAAUUUUAUUGUAGGAAAUUAGAGAAGGAUGCUACUCAAUUCAUUCUCUAGCAGGAAGAAUACAGCUUAAAAAUCACUUGGGUCCCUUUAAUAAAGAAAAGUGUGAUUCUGUGUUGUGUGUUUGGAACUGAAAUUGGAGAACACGUGCCAGUCGACUGUGAAAUGGUUGCUGGAUAAAACCACAGAUGUGGUUUUAUCCGAGAAAUGUGGGACUGAAAUUAUUUUGAUGAGAGGUACAUAAGAGAGCUGCAGAAAAGACUGUAGCUUCUGAGGAGGCAGGAGUACCUUGUUAAUAUCCAAACCACCCCUGAGUUCUAAUGUUCCAACUCCACCUAAACGAGGAAUUGGAAACUUUAAAUGGAAUUAUCUAAUUUAAAUUCUUAGUUUUUUCUUUGUCUUUCUCAGCUGAUACUUGUAGUUUUGUUUUGUUUUUUAACCACCAAGAACACUUGCAAGUUUGUUACUGAAAACAUCACUAAAGGAAAAGAAGAGUUUCAAAAUGCUUGAAAAGUAGUAUGUGGUUGGGAAUUGUUUUUGUUCAAGUCCCUGGAAGUCCUCUUGGCUUAGCUCCCUUGUUCCUGUUCCCACUUCAUUUCCUUACUUAACAUUCCCCUAUUUUGAGCAUGUCAAUAAGUGCAUGAUGAAUGGCACAGUUGAAUGAUCAUGUUAACUUUAAUUGCUUCCUUUGUUGCUGUAAACAGUUUCUUGUUAAGUUUCAGCCAAGUCUGUGACAAUCUCACCAAAUAAGAAUGAAAUGGGCGGGGUGUGGUGGCUCACACUUGGAAUCCCAGCACUCUGGGAGGCUGUGUUGGGCCGAUCGCUUGAGCUCAUGAGUUCAAGACCAACCUGGGCAACAUGGCAAAACCUUGUCUCUACAAAAAAUACAAAAAUUAGCCAGGCAUGGUGGUGCACACCUGUAGUCCCAGCUACUUGGGAGGCUUAGGUGGGAGGAUGGCUUGAGCACGGGAGGCAGAGGUUGCACUAAGCCAAGAUCGUGUCACUGCACUCCAGCCCAGGCAAUAGAGCCAGACCCUGUCUC
rnacentral:lncRNA from 1 species